rnacentral:rRNA from 1 species
CCCAGACUCCUACGGGAGGCAGCAGUGGGGGAUAUUGCACAAUGGGGGAAACCCUGAUGCAGCGACGCCGCGUGAGUGAAGACGGCCUUCGGGUUGUAAAGCUCUGCCAAUCGGGACGAAGAAGAUGACGGUACCGAUGAAGGAAGCUCCGGCUAACUACGUGCCAGCAGCCGCGGUAAUACGUAGGGGGCAAGCGUUAUCCGGAUUCACUGGGUGUAAAGGGAGCGUAGACGGCGACGCAAGUCUGGAGUGAAAGCCCGGGGCCCAACCCCGGGACUGCUCUGGAAACUGCGUCGCUGGAGUACGGGAGGGGCAGGCGGAAUUCCUGGUGUAGCGGUGAAAUGCGUAGAUAUCAGGAGGAACACCGGCGGCGAAGGCGGCCUGCUGGACCGUGACUGACGUUGAGGCUCGAGAGCGUGGGGAGCAAACAGGAUUAGAUACCCGCGUACC